UCCUUGUCGUGUGGCCUCAGUCCUUCGCCGUCCCUCGCCGUCCUUCGCCAUCGCACGCCACCGCACCCCAUCUCUCGAAAUCUGCAGACAUCUUGAUUUUUCCCACGCUGUCUGUCAGGUCUCCGCCGCCACUCGACGCCAGGGCGCCGGGUGAGUCCACAGCAGGGCGCAUGGUCGGCUCCACUCUCACCAUCGGGGGAAACUGAGGCCCCGGGGAAGGCGGCCAGAGAGGUCAGGCCCUGUCCUUGGUGCAGUGUCUCGUCCUCUUUGCCGGAGUGAGCCCCCCAGGAUUCGCGUGUCCUCGGGAAAGACACUGGCAGGCCUUGUGGGCUGUGCUGCACCUCGGACGGCUUCGCACCAGCCAGCGCCCUCUCUCUCCUGCAGCACUCUGAUCUGCACCCCCUGAGGGGCUUCCACUGUCCGCGGGGUGAGAAUGCCCCUGGGAUUGUCAGCUGACCUCUGUCCUGUGUGCCCAGUGGCCCCAGGUGACGUGUCUUCAAGAAGAGGCUGAGCUGCGGUGCUUGUAAGAGUCAUGUGCUGUUCCUGGGGCUUGGAUGAUGUAGGGGAAGCAAGGUGAAAGUGGUAUCCCGUGGUUCCACGUUCUGUCCUGCUGUGGGGCUGUCCCUCACAUGCUUUCAGUGGCUGUUGCAGAGGAAGAGCCUCCGGAAAUCUGCGUGGGUCUCAGCCUUAGAUCCAAGGACAGUCCAAGGAAGUCCUAAGACCAUGGAGUUGGUGAUCUGGGAUCUGGGUUUGCUGAUAUUUCUCACCGUGAAUCUCUUGGUGGUGUUUGUGGGCACGAGAGGGGCAGAGAAUGGAGAGUGAGGCUACCACAUGAAGCGUCACCAGAGCUGCUCCCUGCUGCCUGCUCAGAGCACCCCGGAUCCACUGUUCAAUCUGCACAAGAUUCGGGGUCCAGACAUGGGAGACUUCAGCUGCCUCAGAGGACCGUGGACAGGGAAGGCCAGCCUCGCAUCCCUCUGUCCAUGCCUGGAAUGACUUUAAUAACCAAGAGUUUUAUUUUUGAAUUUGUAGCUGUCGUUCACUUUUUACCCACCCAUUCAAUAAACCUUACAGAAUUGC
rnacentral:lncRNA from 1 species